GGAAUUUUGGACAAUGGGCGCAAGCCUGAUCCAGCAAUGCCGCGUGCAGGAUGAAGGCCUUCGGGUUGUAAACUGCUUUUGUACGGAGCGAAAAGGCUCUCUCUAAUACAGGGGGCUCAUGACGGUACCGUAAGAAUAAGCACCGGCUAACUACGUGCCAGCAGCCGCGGUAAUACGUAGGGUGCAAGCGUUAAUCGGAAUUACUGGGCGUAAAGCGUGCGCAGGCGGUUAUGUAAGACAGAUGUGAAAUCCCCGGGCUCAACCUGGGAACUGCAUUUGAAACUGGCAGGCUUGAGUCUCGUAGAGGGGGGUAGAAUUCCAGGUGUAGCGGUGAAAUGCGUAGAGAUCUGGAGGAAUACCGGUGGCGAAGGCGGCCCCCUGGACGAAGACUGACGCUCAGGUGCGAAAGCGUGGGGAGCAAACA
rnacentral:rRNA from 1 species